rnacentral:rRNA from 1 species
AGAGUUUGAUCAUGGCUCAGGAUAAACGCUGGCGGCGUGCCUAACACAUGCAAGUCGAACGUCCUCUGGCCGCAGGGCUGGAGGGAGUGGCGGACGGGUGAGUAACACAUGGGAACCUACCUUCCAGUGAGGAAUACCGGCGAGAAAUCGCCGACAAGACCGCAUGGGCUUCUCCUUUGGGGAAGCAAAGUUUCUUCGCGAGAGGAGACGCUGGAAGAUGGGCCUGUGGCCGAUUAGCUAGCUGGUGGGGUAAGAGCCUACCAGGGCGACGAUCGGUAGCUGGUCUGAGAGGACGAGCAGCCACACUGGGAUUGAGAACGGUCCAGACUCCUACGGGGGGCAGCAGUGAGGAAUUUUCCGCAAUGGGCGCAAGCCUGACGGAGCAACGCCGCGUGCAGGAAGACGGCCUUCGGGUUGUAAACUGCUUUUCUGAGGGACGAGCAAGGACGGUACCUCAGGAACAAGCCCCGGCUAACUACGUGCCAGCAGCCGCGGUAAUACGUGUU